rnacentral:rRNA from 1 species
AGCUCCAAUAGCGUAUAUUAAAGUUGUUGCAGUUAAAAAGCUCGUAGUUGGAUCUCAGGUCCCGGCUCGCGGUUCGCCUCGCGGCGUCUACUGCCCGUCCGGACCCACCCGCCGGUUUUCCCUUGGUGCUCUUCAUUGAGUGUCUCGGGUGGCCGGAACGUUUACUUUGAAAAAAUUAGAGUGUUCAAAGCAGGCGCUUCGCCUGAAUAAUGGUGCAUGGAAUAAUGGAAUAGGACCUCGGUUCUAUUUUGUUGGUUUUCGGAACUCGAGGUAAUGAUUAAGAGGGACAGACGGGGGCAUUCGUAUUGCGGUGUUAGAGGUGAAAUUCUUGGAUCGCCGCAAGACGAACUACUGCGAAAGCAUUUGCCAAGAAUGUUUUCA